rnacentral:rRNA from 1 species
UACGUAGGGGGCAAGCGUUGUCCGGAUUCAUUGGGCGUAAAGAGCUCGUAGGCGGCUUGGCAAGUCGGGUGUGAAACCUCCAGGCUCAACCUGGAGACGCCACCCGAUACUGCUAUGGCUAGAGUCCGGUAGGGGACCACGGAAUUCCUGGUGUAGCGGUGAAAUGCGCAGAUAUCAGGAGGAACACCGGUGGCGAAGGCGGGUCUCUGGGCAGUAACUGACGCUGAGGAGCGAAAGCGUGGGGAGCGAACAGG